rnacentral:rRNA from 1 species
AUACGGAGGAUCCGAGCGUUAUCUGGAUUUAUUGGGUUUAAAGGGAGCGUAGGUGGAUAGUUAAGUCAGUUGUGAAAGUUUGCGGCUCAACCGUAAAAUUGCAGUUGAUACUGGCUGUCUUGAGUACAGUAGAGGUGGGCGGAAUUCGUGGUGUAGCGGUGAAAUGCUUAGAUAUCACGAAGAACUCCGAUUGCGAAGGCAGCUCACUGGACUGCAACUGACACUGAUGCUCGAAAGUGUGGGUAUCAAACAGGAUUAGAUACCCUGGUAGUCCACACAGUAAACGAUGAAUACUCGCUGUUUGCGAUAUACAGUAAGCGGCCAAGCGAAAGCGUUAAGUAUUCCACCUGGGGAGUACGCCGGCAACGGUGAAACUCAAAGGAAUUGACGGGG